rnacentral:rRNA from 1 species
CGCCAGCCUGACGGAGCCAGACCGCGUGGGGGAGGAAGGCCCUUGGGUUGUAAACCCCUUUUCUCAGGGAAGAAGUUCUGACGGUACCUGAGGAAUCAGCCUCGGCUAACUCCGUGCCAGCAGCCGCGGUAAUACGGAGGAGGCAAGCGUUAUUCGGAAUUAUUGGGCGUAAAGCGUCCGCAGGGGGCUCAUCAAGUCUGCUGUCAAAGGUCGGAGCUCAACUCCGACCCGGCAGUGGAAACUGGGGAGCUAGAGGGCGGCAGGGGCAGAAGGAAUUCCCGGUGUAGCGGUGAAAUGCGUAGAUAUCGGGAAGAACACCAGAGGCGAAAGCGUUCUGCUGGGCCGCACCUGACCCUGAGGGACGAAAGCCAGGGGAGCG